AAGACUCUGUCUCAAAAACAAACAACCAAAAAAGUUUGAGCAAUUGCCAUCUUGGGGGAUGAAGAAUGCUAUCAGGAUUAAAUUAGAUCAUUCAUGCCCUUUGCUUGACUCCUGAGAGUGUUUGAUCAAUGGCCCUCCCUUCUUGUGUGGCCCUAGAGCCUUUAACUCCAUUUGACAGAGAAUCAAUGAUGUCAGCAGAAGUGUGUACAUUUUUCUUUAUAAAUAAAAUAAAUACCUUUUAUCUGCUUUUGCUCGCUACAAAUGCUUCUCUUCAAUUUUACCAUCACCAAUCUGGUUGAAGCUUGAAUAACAACACAUUCCUAAUUUGUGCUCAUCCCUUGCCCUCUUGUCCUUCUGAUGCUUUCAGAAGUCACAAUAAAACAUUUUAAAAACUAAAUCUGGUCAUGUGGUCCCCCACUCCACCGUCUGCAUCGAACUCCUCCAGUGUGUUGUUGCUCAUCCUUAUGGUCUCAGAGCACAUGUCAGCAGUGUAGAAAGGCCUUCCAGGACUCCUCAAUCAAUCUGAAGUACAAUCCAUAAAACCCCAUCUCAUGGGCUGAGAUAGCCCCCUCUGAUGUCCCAUGGCAGGAAAUGGCCCAAAGCCCCCAAGGAAACUCCCCAGAAUUCCAAAGACAGUCUGGGUUGGUGAUCUGGCUUCCACACUAGAGCUGGGAGAGUCAUGGGGAAGUGCUAAUUGCACCCAAAGAUGUGACUGAAGCAGAAAACCCCAAUGGACUCUGUCACCUGGCCCAUUGUUCUGCUUUUGGGGACAAUGGCUGGGCAGGAGAACAUGGAUGAAACGGGGAGCCCAAGUGUGGGGCAGGGAAGGUGGGCUGUGCAGGCUAGCUUUUCAACAGCGACACCGUGUGGUAGUGACGGGAGCAACAGUCCUAGUGGACAGGUGACUACACAGGACAAUGGGCUGUGCAGAAUGACGGGUCAACAGCCACACCAUGUGGUAGUGGAAAGAACAACAGCAUAGUGGACUGACCCACUCUCCAGACCCUCUCUGUGUGACAUUAGGAAUUUGGACUAAGAAAAUCACAAGGACAUUUGGAACAAUGAGACUUUCUGUUAAUGGAGGCUGUGGGGAUUCCAGAGAUUAAUUAUAGAAAUAAAAAGAGAUGAUUGUAUCUGUGCUGUAAACUGGCACUGCCGGCCACAUUGGUUACAGCCAAUGAAUAAUAAAUAAAUGAACAUAAAACAAGAAACAAUACCAGCACACAGAAUCCACAUGAAAAAAACCAGAAGUUUUUUUUCAUGAAGCACAAAUGGAAAUUUCUUGGUUACAAUUGAAACACGAUUCCUGGA
rnacentral:lncRNA from 1 species